rnacentral:rRNA from 1 species
CCCGCAACGAGCGCAACCCUUAAGCUUAGUUGCCAUCAUUAAGUUGGGCACUCUAAGUUGACUGCCGGUGACAAACCGGAGGAAGGUGGGGAUGACGUCAAAUCAUCAUGCCCCUUAUGAUUUGGGCUACACACGUGCUACAAUGGACAAUACAAAGGGCAGCUAAACCGCGAGGUCAAGCAAAUCCCAUAAAGUUGUUCUCAGUUCGGAUUGUAGUCUGCAACUCGACUACAUGAAGCUGGAAUCGCUAGUAAUCGUAGAUCAGCAUGCUACGGUGAAUACGUU